rnacentral:rRNA from 1 species
CCGGGGAGGGUCAUUGGAAACUGGGGAACUUGAGUGCAGAAGAGGAGAGUGGAAUUCCACGUGUAGCGGUGAAAUGCGAUAGAGAUGUGGAGGAACACCAGUGGCGAAGGCGACUCUCUGGUCUGUAACUGACGCUGAGGAGCGAAAGCGUGGGGAGCGAACAGGAUUAGAUACCCUGGUAGUCCACGCCGUAAACGAUGAGUGCUAAGUGUUAGGGGGUUUCCGCCCCUUAGUGCUGCAGCUAACGCAUUAAGCACUCCGCCUGGGGAGUACGGUCGCAAGACUGAAACUCAAAGGAAUUGACGGGGGCCCGCACAAGCGGUGGAGCAUGUGGUUUAAUUCGAAGCAACGCGAAGAACCUUACCAGGUCUUGACAUCCUCUGACAAUCCUAGAGAUAGGACGUCCCCUUCGGGGGCAGAGUGACAGGUGGUGCAUGGUUGUCGUCAGCUCGUGUCGUGAGAUGUUGGGUUAAGUCCCGCAACGAGCGCAACCCUUGAUCUUAGUUGCCAGCAUUCAGUUGGGCACUCUAAGGUGACUGCCGGUGACAAACCGGAGGAAGGUGGGGAUGACGUCAAAUCAUCAUGCCCCUUAUGACCUGGGCUACACACGUGCUACAAUGGACAGAACAAAGGGCAGCGAAACCGCGAGGUUAAGCCAAUCCCACAAAUCUGUUCUCAGUUCGGAUCGCAGUCUGCAACUCGACUGCGUGAAGCUGGAAUCGCUAGUAAUCGCGGAUCAG